rnacentral:rRNA from 1 species
GACGAACGCUGGCGGCGUGCUUAACACAUGCCAGUCGAACGGAAAGGCCCUGCUUUUGUGGGGUUCUCGAGUGGCGAACGGGUGAGUAACACGUGAGUAACCUGCCCUUGACUUUGGGAUAACUGCAGGAAACUGGGGCUAAUACCGGAUAGGAGCUCCUGAUGCAUGGUGGGGGUUGGAAAGGUUCGGCGGUUGUGGAGGGGCUCGCGGGUUAUGAGCUUGUUGGUGAGGUAGUGGCUUACCAAGGCUUUGACGGGUAGCCGGCCUGAGAGGGUUACCGGCCACAUUGGGAAUGAGCUACGGCACAGACGCCUACGGGAGGCAGCUGUGGGGACUAUUGCCCAAUGGGCGGAAGCAUGAUGCAGCAACGCAGCGUGCGGGAUGACGGCCUUCGGGUUGAAAACCGCAUUCUCCGGUGACGAAGAGUGAGUGACGGUACCGGAUAAAGAAGCACCGGCUAACUCCGUG